rnacentral:rRNA from 1 species
GAUGAACGCUGGCGGCGUGCCUAACACAUGCAAGUCGAGCGGCAGCGAGGGGUGCUUGCACCCUGCCGGCGAGCGGCGGGCGGCUGAGUAACGCGUGGGAACGUGCCCCAAAGUGAGGAAUAACUGCCCGAAAGGGUAGCUAAUACUGCAUAUUAUCUUCGGAUCAAAGGAUUUAUCCGCUUUGGGAGCGGCUCGCGUCGGAUUAGGUAGUUGGUGAGGUAAUGGCUCACCAAGCCGACGAUCCGUAGCUGGUCUGAGAGGAUGACCAGCCAGACUGGAACUGAGACACGGUCCAGACUCCUACGGGAGGCAGCAGUGAGGAAUCUUCCACAAUGGGCGAAAGCCUGAUGGAGCAACGCCGCGUGCAGGACGAAGGCCUUCGGGUUGUAAACUGCUUUUAUAAGUGAGGAAUAUGACGGUAACUUAUGAAUAAGGAUCGGCUAACUACGUG